GACGAACGCUGGCGGCGUGCUUAACACAUGCAAGUCGAACGGAAAGGCCCUGCUUUUGUGGGGUGCUCGAGUGGCGAACGGGUGAGUAACACGUGAGUAACCUGCCCUUGACUUUGGGAUAACUUCAGGAAACUGGGGCUAAUACCGGAUAGGAGCUCCUGCUGCAUGGUGGGGGUUGGAAAGUUUCGGCGGUUGGGGAUGGACUCGCGGCUUAUCAGCUUGUUGGUGGGGUAGUGGCUUACCAAGGCUUUGACGGGUAGCCGGCCUGAGAGGGUGACCGGCCACAUUGGGACUGAGAAGCGGCCCAGACUCCUACGGGAGGCAGCAGGGGGGAAUAUUGCACAAUGGGCGGAAGCCUGAUGCAGCAACGCCGCGUGCGGGAUGACGGCCUUCGGGUUGUAAACCGCUUUCGCCUGUGACGAAGCGUGAGUGACGGUAAUGGGUAAAGAAGCACCGGCUAACUACGUG
rnacentral:rRNA from 1 species